UUUUGUUUUUGUUUUAAUCAUGUUUAGUCUUUUCUUUUUAUUUAUUUUUCUCUUUACUGUUUUAUUUUUAGUCCCACUUUAUUUUUACUUAGUAAAAUAUGGCAAUAGCUCCUAAAUUAACGUUUCAAAACUACCCUCAUCCACAAAAGGUUUUAACCCAAAAUAAAAUAGUUUAGUGUUAUAAAAUACCAAAGGCAUUUAAAUAAUGUUUUUGCUACCGUUUAAAUCAUUUCAGUGCAUUUAUACAUUAUAUAAAAAUGUGGAUUCUUCAUCAUAAUCAUCUAUGCAUUAAUUGGCACAACCCGAACAUUUUGUUUUGUAUCUUUGAAUUUUUUUUAUGUUUGCCUUUGAUUAAAUUUUGAAUUUGAAUCGGUUUUGAACUAACCCGAGAUUAACUACAGCGACAGAUGUGACGUGGCAUCAUUAGCAGGGAAUUACUGUAGUCUAAUUAUCCGGGCGUCACAAUUCUCCUCCACUACAAGAAAUCUCGUCCCGAGAUUUAAGAGGUAGAGUAAGGGGGAAAGGUCUGGUUACGAAAUUCUAACGGAUCUUCUCAAUCUUGGCUGCUCUUCUCGAAGAGAUCGAUCCAUUACAUUGAUGUCUUCAUUCCACUGCUUCAGGACAUCAUUAUGAAGCCGUCAUCCUUUCUUCGGGGGUUCCUUCGUACUUCCGAAUAGGUAACGGGGUAGAUCGGCAAUGACAGAAUGCUAUAAGGGUAAUAAUCUGGGAUUAACCCAUGAAUGAGCAUAUGAGUACCUCUCGAGUUGAACAAUUAAAACACAUCGAGAGUAAAGUUCGAAGGUACCAUAAGAAGUUUCAAGUGGAUAGACAAUCGUUCGUUGUCGGAAACAGAGUGUGAAAGGGGUUUAGAGCAACGGGAAUAAUUAUUGUGUUUCAUACCAGAAUUGAUGAUCUCUCGGAAGGUAGCUCGUGAAUUGCAUACGAGGCCACAUGCGAGGAACAAUCUUGGGAACAAGGAGUGCAAGAGAGUCAGGUUUUGAUCCUGUGGAACUGUGGGUUAUGGGCCCACCAUGUGGGUUAAAAGUAGGAAGGCGAUGACGUCUUCCACGAUCAUGUAAGCAAGGCACGUCAGAGAAUAACUGGUCAGUUAUGUUGGCAGCAUCGUUGGUACCAAGGGCGAGGGACGAAGAGAACCAUUUUCCUGCUCGUUGAACGAGGCAGACCAAUAGGCAGAGUUCUCGUCCAUCCGUGGCUACCGGAAUGUCAUUAACAAUAGUAACAGGGUCUUACUGAUAGAGUUGUACACCGAGGUGUUUACAUAAGCAGGAGAAUAUUACUGCUUAGAUCAUAUAGAUCACAAGAAAUGUUAAACCAGCCAAUGGAAAGGAAAAUACGAUUAUCAGAUUAAACAGAACAAUGGAAAGGAAAAUGUGUUUAAACACAUAUUUCAAGGGUAUAUCCUUCCCAAUGACAAGCAGAGCAUGAUAUCCAUGACAGGAUAGAAAGUAGAAAACCAUUUAGGUAAGGGGAGAGGAAUUUCAUGACAUAACCCAAACAACGGUGUUUGGAUAAUGGACAAAGAAAAUUUUGCAUUGUUCUUCAAAUGCUCUUAUUGAAAAUCGGAGUAUCACAGACAUGCUUCGAGAUAACAUUGGCAUGGUCUUCAAGCAAAGGUCAGACUUUGGAUACAAAGGAUCCAUCGGAAACAACUUAUAGAAUAAGUCUUACAAUUUCCUCAUGGAAGAAUGGAUAACCUUGCUGAAAAGGAAUCUAUAACAAUAGGGCCUCCGACCAGGUGUGCUAGGCGUGACAUCACCUUACCCGGUCAUGUAAAGAUGUUAUAACUCUUGAAAAUAUGUUCCAACCAUCAUAUCUGACCGAGAUUUAUAUCUGAUUGGUGUCAAGAUAUCUCAGACACGGAAUGCCUGAGAAGAAAAGGUGCAACGCAAAUUGACGAGAUGACAUUGUACGAUUCCCGGGGAAAUGAACUAUGAAAGCAAGUUCCGAAACAAGAGUUCAUCAUUAAACCAAGGAGAGGGUUAGGAGGUGGCUGAUGGACUCGGCGACAUUCCAUUGAGAUUUCCAAAAGAUGGAUUUCCACAAUUAUGUGUACAAGGAGAUAGCUUUGGUCAGUUCAAAUGAUAUAAUGAGGUAUGCUCGAGGAAACAUACACGAUUGAACAUUGGUUGACGGUGCACCCGAAAUACGGACUUAGGUAGCACAAAUAAUGUUAGAAUGGCGAUUCGAUAACCAAUGGUCUAAGAAUGAAAUGUUGACCAUUAACUUCAAAGCAAUAAGGUUGCUAGAAGUUUUAAAAUUACUAGUCCAUCUGUCGGUAUUCCUGUUAGGAACAACACGGGGACCAAGAAAAGAAUGGUGAUGGUGAAGUAUCACUUAUAUCAAGAAUUCUCAAGAGGUGGUGAGAUUCUCACGACAUUCCUCACAUAAAAGAUGGUAAUACUCCAAGGUAAAGAAGAAAAAUUGCUGGAUAGCAAGGAUCUCAAGGUAUAUCACAAAGCACGAACAAGUUUGUGUUGAACGAUAGGCAAUAAAGUGGUCGAUGAUAACACAAAUCAUCGAGAGCAAAGGGUGGUAUUUCUCAUCAAGAAUUUGAUAGAUAUCUUGGAAGAGCUCAGAAUGUUGAUGAUGUUCACGACACAUUUGUCGUGAGAUUUCAUGAAGAUGCAAUCGAUCGGCGACGACAUCAAGUCAAAGGAAUGAUGAGCCGAAAGAUUAUUGGAACCAAGAGUAUGACACGAACUCGAAAUCAAGCUUGGUGUUCAAGGCGAAAUGAUACGAUGAGGAAGAUCGGCGUAAGGUUACCUCAUCGUCCAAAAUUGUGCUAGCCGGUCAGGCUAGGAAUGACGUGAUCGGGUACAGACUCGUGAGUAAAGAAGAUUACUAAAAUUUGUUGAACCAUAGUGCGUACUCGGUUCAGUUAUUGGUGUCUUUGAGUGUUUAAUAACUCAGAGCCCGUGAAAAAUUGGAAUCAGUGAGAAUGUAGUACUUGAUGAAGAACUCAUAAGAAGUUAUGCAGUUCCAAGAUAAUUUCGAGAUACCAGGGGGGUAAUACUCGAUGACAGAUCAAAGUAGAGGUUGGGCUAGGUUAUUGCUCUCCAGAAGACAAGUCAUUGAACUUGUCCGAGAAAUUUGGAUCAAAGAAGAACAAUAUGGUCGGAAACCAUGAUUGCAAAAGCCCAAACCCCAGAUAUAAGAUGAAAUUAUAUCAAGGGGAUAAGUAUUGUUAUGAGAAGCUUCCAUGACAAGAUCUACAUCGUGUCCAUGGGCAUGAACACAAAGUUCAAGGUCGACUCCCACUUCUCUAAUGCAUAACCUAUCAUUCACUCCUCAUUUUCGAUGGAGUUGUAGUGUUGAAAUUUUAUCUGGUAAAUCACCAGGAGAAUAUGACUCGUGAAAACUUUCGGGUUUACACGGUUUUAGAGAAGGUAUAGGUUCAACCCAUCGGGGCAUCUUAGAAACAUAUACCACAAGCUUCAAGAGUAACUAACACAAGCUCGAAAAUAGAGCAUGGUUGAAAAAAGGAGAGGAUAAAAUUUACCAAAGGCAUUAUGUAUCGGAGAAAGAACUCACAAGGUGAUUAAUUAUGAAGGACACUGUCGGAUAAUAAUCCAACACUGGAUAUGGCGAUCCACAAUGGAGCUGAUGUGAGUAUCGAUACCCAAUCAGAGGAAGAAAGAAUGCAAAUGCAUCGGUUUAUAGAACAUCUGAAUAAUUCAACGUUUAAAUAACAAAGGAAUUAUCAUUUUCAAAUCAAGGGGUCAGGAGCAAACGCUCUGAUCAAGGAUGGAUAAGUUGAAUAGACUUAGGGGUACAAUCAAUGGCAAUCUGAUUAGCCGAGAACCAGCUCAUGUUCGAAAGACGUCUGAGACGGAAAGAUAAUUUAUAAGGAUCAACUGAUGAUUGCGUGCAUUCGCACACAUAUAGAAUCAACGGACUCAAAAUGAUAGUGUCAAAGGAUGCCAAUAAGAUUACUAGACUUAUGGGAUUGACCAUAAUGAAAGCAAGCAAGUAUUUCAAGAGCAAUAGGUUGCCGAAGAUUUUUGGAAGAUCGAAUGGUAUUUUCAAGACUAUUGUGAAAUACAUGAAUCAACUGGGAAUGAGUGAAUCCUCGGUAAGUGCGAGAAACUAUUCGUAGGGGUAUUCAGGUGGCAAGGAACUGCAAGGCAGUAGGCACAAAGUAUUCUCGGGGUAUCUUGUAAUAACAAGAUCGACUGGGAACAAAAGUAAGAACGACAGAUGUAUGUAUUUAUCCAUAGGGAUAUUUCGGUGAUAGGGAAUUGCAAAAACGACGGGCACAAAGUCUCGAGAGAACAUCACAGGGUAACUCUGGAAUCUUCUAGUGCAGCAGGCGAUCAUCUGUGAUAAGGGGCUCUCCGGAAGAAAUUAAUUAUGAGAACCUAGAGUUAGAGUUAGCAAAAUCAUUUAACCUGAAUAGAAGAGAGAUCAGAAUCCCGGAGUAAAGAUCGAGGAGUAAAAGAUCCUAAUACCACCCAAUGGCGACGUGGGCCCGUAAGCCACACAGCCAUGUUAGUAAAAGUUUUGCAAUGUCUAGACUCGACUUCGCCAAGGAGUAUGGAAGGGGGAUUCCUACAUGCAGUCGGCUCUGAUACCAACUUGUGACGCCCCCGAUUCAAUCGUACACUAAUCAUGCACGCAAACGUGUACGAUCAAGAUUAGGGACUCACGGGAAGAUAUCACAACACAACUCUAAAACAUAAAUAAGUCAUACAAGCAUCAUAAUACAAGCCAGGGGCCUCGAGGGCUCGAAUACAAGUGCUCGAUCAUAGACGAGUCAGCGGAAGCAACAAUAUCUGAGUACAGACAUAAGUUAAACAAGUUUGCCUUAAGAAGGCUAGCACAAACUAGGAUACAGGUCGAAAGAGGCACAGGCCUCCUGCCUGGGAUCCUCCUAAACUACUCCUGGUCGUCGUUAGUGGGUUGCACGUAGUAGUAGGCACCUCCGGUGUAGUAGGAGUCGUCGUCGGCGGUGGCGUCUGGCUCCUGGGCUCCAGCAUCUGGUUGCGACAACCAGGUAGAAAGGAAAGGGGAAAAGAGGGAGAAAAGCAACCGUGAGUACUCAUCCAAAGUACUCGCAAGCAAGGAUCUACACUACAUAUGCAUGGGUAUAUGUGUAAAGGGCCAUAUCGGUGGACUGAACUGCAGAAUGCCAGAAUAAGGGGGGAUAGCUAAUCCUGUCGAAGACUGCGCUUCUGGCCACCUCCAUCCUGCAGCAUGUAGAAGAGAGUAGAUGGUAAGUUCACCAAGUAGCAUCGCAUAGCAUAAUCCUACCCGGCGAUCCCCUCCUCGUCGCCCUGUUAGAGAGCGAUCACCGAGUUAUAUCUGGCACUUGGAAGGGUGUGUUUUAUUAAGUAUCUGGUUCUAGUUGUCAUAAGUUCAAGGUACAACUCCCGGUCGUCCUUUUACCGAGGGACACGGCUAUUCGAAUAGAUAAACUUCCCUGCAGGGGUGCACCACAUAACCCAACACGCUCGAUCCCAUUUGGCCGGACACACUUUCCUGGGUCAUGCCCGGCCUCGGAAGAUCAACACGUCGCAGCCCCACCUAGGCACAACAGAGAGGUCAGCACGCCGGUCUAAAUCCUAUGGCGCAGGGGUCUGGGCCCAUCGCCCAUUACACACCUACAUGUUGCGAGGGCGGCCGGAAGCAGACCUAGCCUAGCAGGCGUUCCAGUCCAAUCCGGCGCGCGCCGCUCAGUCGCUGACGUCACGAAGGCUUCGGCUGAUACCACGACGCCGAGUGCCCAUAACUGUUCCCGCGUAGUUGGUUAGUGCGUAUAGGCCAGUGGCCAGACUCAGAUCAAAUACCAAGAUCUCGUUAAGCGUGUUAUUAUGAAGUAACCGUGAACGCCGACCAGGGCCAGGCCCACCUCUCUCCUAGGUGGUCUCAACCUGCCCUGUUGCUCCGCCACAAAGUAACAGUCAGGGGCCGUCGGGAACCCAGGCCCACCUCUACCGGGAUGGAGCCACCUGCCCCUUCAGCCCCCAUCUCCGAACAGUAUCAUAAGUAAUGUAACAGUAUAAAGUAUAUAUCAUAUGCCCGUGAUCACCUCCCGAGUGAUCACGGCCCAGUAGUAUAGCAUGGCAGACGGACAAGAGUGUAGGGCCACUAAUGGAACACUAGCAUACUAUACUAAGCAGUAGGAUAGCAGGUAAGGGUAACAACUGUAGCAACAAUGACAGGCUAUGCAUCAGAAUAGGAUUAACCGAAAGCAGUAACAUGCUACACUACUCUAAUGCAAGCAAUAUAGAGAAGGAAUAGGCGAUAUCUGGUGAUCAAGGGGGGGCUUGCCUGAUUGCUCUGGCAAGAAGGAUGGGUCGUCAACAGCGUAGUCGGUCGGGGCACCAGCAGCGGCGUCGGUCUCGUAGUCUACCGGAGAGAAGAGGGGGAAGAAACAAUGAAUACAAUGCAAACAGAUGCAUAACGAUGCAUGACAUGACAAAGCGUGAUGCUAGGUGUGCCCAAACACGGUAGUAGGUGAUACCGGAGAAGGGGGGAAACAUCCGGGAAAGUAUUCCUGGUGUUUCGCGUUUUUGGACAGAUGAACCGGAGGGGGAAAGUUGCGAGUUCGAUAUGUUAGGGAUGUGUGGCGGACGAACGGGCUGCGUAUCCGGAUUCGUCUCGUCGUUCUGAGCAACUUUCAUGUACAAAGUUUUUCCAUCCGUGCUACGGUUUAUUUUAUAUUAAUUUCCUAAAGUUUUAAACAUUUUUGAAAUUUAUUUAAUUAUUUAAAUCGAACAUUAUCCAAAACUGUGAAAGGUGAUGUCAGCAUGACAUCACCAUGACGUCAGCAGAUCAAACCCGGCUGACUAGAGUCAACCCUAGCAUGUGGGUCCAGUGGGACCCACCUGUCAUUGAGACAGAGGUGAAAUAGGAUUUGUUUUAGACUAAUUAGGAUUAAUUAAUUGUGGGCCCCAUUAGUCAGUGACAGAUUAGUGUUUUAAUUAACUAAAUAGGUUAAUUAAUCAGGGUUAAUUAAUUACUUAAUAUAUAUUUUUGUUGUUUUUUUAUAUGUUAUUACUAUUAUUUUAACCAUUCCAGGGCGUGGGCCCCGCGUGUCAGUGGCCCAUGGCCUUAGCAGGCACGGGCGCCAGCGGUGCGCUUACGGGCGCACCCGUGCAGGGCCGAGCCCGGUCGGGGAGGCGGGGCGAGGCCACCGGGGCGUGGUGGCGUUUGGCCAGUGUGGGCGACGGCCAUCGGGGGUGGACCCGGGCGGCGCCGCAAGGGGGAAGCGGAACGGCGAGCGGCGGCGGGCACGGCACGCAGUGCGCGGCCAUGGGGAGCAGGGGGCAGGGCGGAGCGCCGACGUGGAGCUCCAGCGGUAGCAGCGGCAGGGGAGAAGCGGGAGGAGCAACACAGGGGGUUGGCGAGCACGCGUCCGUGCGCGGUGGCGCACCGAGGGAGGCGCGGACGGCGCGGAGACAGGGAAGGAGGAGGGCGGAGGCCGUGGCCUCAUCGGGAUUUGUAGGGAUGGGGCAGCGGGGCUCGUGGAGGGGGUUGGGGACGACNNNNNNNNNNNNNNNNNNNNNNNNNNNNNNNNNNNNNNNNNNNNNNNNNNNNNNNNNNNNNNNNNNNNNNNNNNNNNNNNNNNNNNNNNNNNNNNNNNNNNNNNNNNNNNNNNNNNNNNNNNNNNNNNNNNNNNNNNNNNNNNNNNNNNNNNNNNNNNNNNNNNNNNNNNNNNNNNNNNNNNNNNNNNNNNNNNNNNNNNNNNNNNNNNNNNNNNNNNNNNNNNNNNNNNNNNNNNNNNNNNNNNNNNNNNNNNNNNNNNNNNNNNNNGCGGCGGCAUCAGGGACGAUGUGGUCGGGGUGGUUUGCCCCGAUCUAGAAAUCGCGGGGGAGUGGGGGAGCGAGCGAGAGAGAGUGGGGGUCGGGGUACUGGGGGGAGAGGGGCUAGGGUUUCUGGCGCCCGGGGGAGUAGUAGCGGGCGCGGUUGGGCCGGCCUGGCGGUCCAGUAGCCUGCUGGGCCGAGGCCCAGCUAGGGGGGGUCCUUUUACUUUGUUUUGUUUUUGUUUUAAUCAUGUUUAGUCUUUUCUUUUUAUUUAUUUUUCUCUUUACUAUUUUAUUUUUAGUCCCACUUUAUUUUUACUUAGUAAAAUAUGGCAAUAGCUCCUAAAUUAAUGUUUCAAAACCACCCUCAUCCACAAAAGGUUUUAACCCAAAAUAAAAUAGUUUAGUGUUUUAUAAAAUACCAAAGGCAUUUAAAUAAUGUUUUCUCUACCGUUUAAAUCAUUUCAGUGCAUUUAUACAUUAUAUAAAAAUGUGGAUUCUUCAUCAUAAUCAUCCAUGCAUUAAUUGGCACUACCCGAACAUUUUGUUUUGUAUCUUUGAAAAUUUUUGAUGUUUGCCUUUAAUUAAAUUUUGAAUUUGAAUCAGUUUUGAACUAACCCGAGAAUAACUACAGCGACAGAGGUGACGUGGCAUCAUUAGCAGGGAAUUACUGUAGUCUAAUU
rnacentral:lncRNA from 1 species